GCUUUACACCCGAAUUGAAUGCUGGGAUACCUGCCCGGCCAAGUUCACACAAGUUACCAUCCGAUGUAUCCUCGGUAAAAUGGGCGUGUCGAGAUCACAUCCGGGGAUUUUAACUGUUCUUGGCGAAAUGCUAACUUGUGUAUUGGGUCAGUACUUUGGCCACCAAACAUGACGUUUCACAAGAACACAAGGACACAAGUCCAUAGAAGAACACAUAUUGAGAAACGCCCCUAACCUGGAGGAAUUCUUUACACCUGGGGACACUUCCGGACUACAGGAAUAUUAAUAAGCCAGGAAAGGACGGGGGGUGAAGGUUUAGGAGCGCCUACAGUGAGUCAGCGUCCGGUAAAGAUAACGGAUUCUCUUCAUCAUCACGGAUAACGGUCGUUCUCCUCGUCACCGCCGAAGGCCCGCCCCUCUGCCCUCACAUCGACAGCUGAUUGGACGGGAAGUUAACAGCAACCAAUAGAAUUAAAGCACCUUCAGCAGACGGCAAGCUGGCGACCAGAGCAAGAAAGAAGGGCGAGGAGGAGGAGGAGGAUAGGAGGAGUAUUGGUGGAGAAGGU